GAUGAACGCUGGCGGCGUGCCUAAUACAUGCAAGUCGAGCGAACGGACGAGAAGCUUGCUUCUCUGAUGUUAGCGGCGGACGGGUGAGUAACACGUGGAUAACCUACCUAUAAGACUGGGAUAACUUCGGGAAACCGGCGCUAAUCCCGUAUAAUAUUUUGAACCGCGUGGUUCAAAAGUGAAAGACGGUCUUGCUGUCACUUAUAGCUGGAUCCGGGCUGGAUUAGCUGGUUGUUAAGGUAACGGCCUACCAAGGCAACGAUGCAUAGCCGACCUGAGAGGGGGGUCGCCCACACGGGAAGGGGGACAGGGACCAGACUCCUACGGGAGGCAGCAGUAGGGUAUCUUCCGCAAUGGGCGAAAGCAUGACGGAGCAACGCCGCGUGAGUGAUGAAGGUCUUCGGAGCGUAAAACUCUGUUAUUAGGGAAGAACAUAUGUGUAAGGAACUGUGCACAUCUUGACGGUACCUAGUCAGAAAGCCACGGCUAACUACGUG
rnacentral:rRNA from 1 species